AUGAACGCUAGCGGCGUGCCUAAUCCAUGCAAGUCGCGCGAACAGACGAGGAGCUUGCUCCUCUGACGUUAGCGGCGGACGGGUGAGUAACACGUGGAUAACCUACCUAUAAGACUGGGAUAACUUCGGGAAACCGGAGCUAAUACCGGAUAAUAUAUUGAACCGCAUGGUUCAAUAGUGAAAGACGGUUUUGCUGUCACUUAUAGAUGGAUCCGCGCCGCAUUAGCUAGUUGGUAAGGUAACGGCUUACCAAGGCGACGAUGCGUAGCCGACCUGAGAGGGUGAUCGGCCACACUGGAACUGAGACACGGUCCAGACUCCUACGGGAGGCAGCAGUAGGGAAUCUUCCGCAAUGGGCGAAAGCCUGACGGAGCAACGCCGCGUGAGUGAUGAAGGUCUUCGGAUCGUAAAACUCUGUUAUUAGGGAAGAACAAAUGUGUAAGUAACUAUGCACGUCUUGACGGUACCUAAUCAGAAAGCCACGGCUAACUACGUG
rnacentral:rRNA from 1 species